rnacentral:misc_RNA from 1 species
CAGAGCAUCGUGCCCUUCGGGGUAGAUCUCCCACCCUGUGUCUUAUGCUACCCUUUGUUGCUUUGGCGGGCCGCCUUGUGGCCACCGGCUCCGGCUGGUGCGCGCCCGCCAGAGGACCCCAAACUCUGAAUGUUAGUGUCGUCUGAGUACUACAUAAUAGUUA